CCUACGGGAGGCAGCAGUGAGGAAUAUUGGUCAAUGGGCGCGAGCCUGAACCAGCCAAGUCGCGUGUGGGAAGACGGCCCUACGGGUUGUAAACCUCUUUUGCCGUGGAGCAACGGGCGCCACGUGUGGCGCCACUGAGAGUACCCGGAGAAAAAGCAUCGGCUAACUCCGUGCCAGCAGCCGCGGUAAUACGGUGGAUGCGAGCGUUAUCCGGCUUUAUUGGGUUUAAGGGGUGCGUAGGCGGAGCGGUAAGUCAGUGGUAAAAUUGAGGGGCUCAACCCCUUCCCGCCAUUGAAACUGGCGCUCUUGAGUGGAAGAGAAGUAUGCGGAAUGCGUGGUGUAGCGGUGAAAUGCAGAGAUAUCACGCAGAACCCCGAUUGCGAAGGCAGCAUGCCGGCUUCCGACUGACGCUGAAGCACGAAAGCGUGGGGAUCGAACAGGAUUAGAUACCCGUGUAGUC
rnacentral:rRNA from 1 species